AAGACGUGUGACUGAGAAGCCAGAAGAUGGAAUAAAUCUGACACUGACUGGAGGUUCAGCAUUUGAAACGAUGGAGGCCAUCUGAGAAGAUCAUUUGGAUUUGAACCAAUGUGAUUCUGAAGUGACUAUGAAUAACAACCACUGAUUAAAAUAUAUGUGGACCAUAUUAAUAUGUUAAUUAUGCGGCUUUAAAAAGAAGUGGUUAAUAUGGGCUGGGAUUUUAAAAGGCUUCCCAGAAGAGGUGAGAUUUGGAUGAAGAGUCAGAUAUGGACAGAAGGUGGACCAAAUGCAAGACUACCAGAUUGCUAAUUGGAAUCUUAGUAACCGUAUUGGCUACAAUAUAACCCAAGGAACUUUGGUUUGAGAAAAGGCUGGCACCAAGUUCAAGAUUUUCUUCACCAUGACUUGCUUCACCACUUAACGCCCAGGCCUAAUACAGAGUCUGGCACAUAGUACAUACUCAGAAAUAUUUGUUGAAUAAAUAACACGUGAAUGAAUGAAGUUACGAGAGGAGAGAAUUCUUUCCAACCUUCAUCACAUCAGAUCUUAAGUUGUACUGACCAAAAAGUGAAAUGGGGAGAGAAGCAGAUGCAUAGAAAAGUGAAGAAGUCAAUGUUCUUUUCUCUACUCCAAAGUUUCAUAAGACUUAUAAUGUCUCCUCCCAGAAGGAGGGUCCCAGACUUCUCAGUUUGUUUUUAUCUGGAGGGAAGACAGAAGAAGACAAGAGAGUGUUUUCUGUUCACUAUUGUUGGUGCUACCCACUAAUAAAAACUACAAACAUUUCAGCAAAAAGUUAACAAUUUUUAAAUAGUGUAUCCAAAAAAAAAAAAAAAGAAAAGAAUUGGACAUUCCUACAUUUACUGCUGCAACCUUCCAUUUCUUCUCCAUGAGCACAUUCCUAAUAUCAUUAGGAUACAUCCAUAGCAGGUACACCCACUAAAAAGAAAGAGCAGGACAGCAUUACAGCCCCGAGCAACAGAGUAUGAAAGCUGAUGACAAGGACAGUGAGCCAGACCACCUGAUGUCAAGUCCCUCAUCCACUGUUUCCUAACGGUGAUGAAGUGUGUUUUUUGGAAGGUGAGGAUGGAAGGUGAGGACUUUGCUUGCCAAGAAACUUCAGGGAAUUUUCUGAACAUAUGCAAAAGCGAAAUUACAAAGAUCAUAUUCUUCACAACUUUGUUCAAGUGCUUAAAAGAAGUUACACUGAGAAUGUAAACUAGAAAGAUUGGUGAAGGCUGGAAUGCUGAGUGAACAAAAAUGGGCUUUUAUGUAAUAGGCAAUGCAUUUACUGCUUGGUAAUGUCCACAGCUUCUAUAUCAACUUACCUGAUCCCUGGUGUGUCUAUUAAAGUUUUCCUCAUUAUACAACUAAUGCAGUGUUCUCACAUGCUAGAUGCUCCACUUAGAGGAAUACAAACAAAUUGAAGCUGAUUUAACCAGCACAUACUACCCAGCAGCUGAGAAACCUUCAUGAAACAAGGAUUAAUUGUUUGUGGCACAGUAUAUGACAAUAACAACAACAACUCAACAAAUCUACCAUAGGAGAAAUAGAAGAUACCUAUUAAGGAUAGCCAUAAUGCCAGUUGAUUUUCAUCAUUAAGAGAUCUUCAAAUGAUAGAUGAAUUUUCAAAGCCUUCAGAGAAAGUAUAUAUUGAACUUAAUGUAGCUUGAUUGUUUCAAUCAAAUGCCCAUUCUUGAGGAAAAAGCAUUUGAAAUACACUCAGAAUGCAGACUCACAUGCUGACGAUUUGUGUUUUCCCCACAACAAUCAUCUGAGAUUCAGAUCUCCGCUGUUUCACAUGUACUUUCCUCGAGAGACCGUCCGGCUCACUGCAGAAGGCACUGGAACCUUCAAUAGUGGGAGCUGCGGGCUCUCACCAGGAAGCAGUCUUUCACCUACAGUUUUGCUCUGCCUCUCACCCUUGAAAUCAACUUUGGUACAAGCAUGAUCUUCAGCUAUCAGACCCCAUCGAACAUCUGUAA